rnacentral:rRNA from 1 species
GCCGUGAGGUGUUGGGUUAAGUCCCGCAACGAGCGCAACCCUACGUUUUUAGUUGCCAUCAGGUUAAGCUGGGCGACUCUAAAGAGACUGCCGUCGAUAAGGCGGAGGAAGGUGGGGACGACGUCAAGUCAUCAUGGCCCUUAUGUCUAGGGCUACACACGUGCUACAAUGGGUUAUACAGAGGGCAGCUAGCUCGCGAGAGUCUGCGAAUCCCUUAAAGUAAUCCUCAGUUCGGAUUGUAGUCUGCAACUCGACUACAUGAAGUUGGAAUCGCUAGUAAUCGCAGGUCAGCAAAACUGCGGUGAAUACGUUCCCGGGCCUU